UACGGAGGUCUCAAGCGUUGUUCGGAUUCAUUGGGCGUAAAGGGUGCGUAGGCGGCGCGGUAAGUCGGGUGUGAAAUCUCGGAGCUUAACUCCGAAACUGCAUUCGAUACUGCCGUGCUUGAGGACUGGAGAGGAGACUGGAAUUUACGGUGUAGCGGUGAAAUGCGUAGAUAUCGUAAGGAAGACCAGUGGCGAAGGCGGGUCUCUGGACAGUUCCUGACGCUGAAGCACGAAGGCCAGGGGAGCAAACGGG
rnacentral:rRNA from 1 species